rnacentral:misc_RNA from 1 species
UGUGUGUGUGUGAGUGCGUGUGUGUGUGUGUGUGAAAAUAAAUUUUAUAGUGAAAGAAAAAUGGAAUAAAUUGUCAACGAAAGGUGUCCUAUGAAACUCAACAAACAAAUACACAAAGCACAUGCUAAAAAAGUAACAACAUCCACUCGUGUUGAAUAACAAUCAAAAUAACCCCUACAAGCUCCAAAUGCAUAAGCCAAUUAGAACCGAAAAAACAACACCUUGUCCCACGACAAAUUAAAGAGCAAAACAAAAAAAGAGCACAAUUCCAAAGAACUUUGGCAUCUUUCUUACCAUCAAAUCCUAGCCAUUUUAAACCAAAAAAAGUCUCUAAAGAUUCUGAACAUGCCCUAUGCUCCAAGAUGUAGAAAGUAGAUCCCAAAUAAUGAGGCCUUAUUAGGCCGCCUUUUUUUCCUUUUGCAAAAUAUCAUUAGUAAUCAACUUUUGAAGAAUUGUAGACCAAACAAAGCCUUUACUUUGAGCAGCAAUUUUUAACUUUCCAAAUUUUAUUGGCUGAAUGAUAAAAAUGAUAUGGAGAAUGACAAGAUGAGAAUAGACAGAUUACAAAAGAAUUUUCUAUAAGAGUCUGAAAACCACAUCCUUCUAUCUGCUCUAUG